CGCAGGGCGUUGUACGAGCUGGCGGUGAUGGCAGGCCCACUGUUCGUAGGCGACAACGGUGAUGGCAAACCCACUGUUCCUGGGCGACGACGGUGAAUCAAUCACCGUCGAGGAUGUCCGCUCCGACAUUGCUCCGAGUUCGUCGCCAGAGAACUGAUCCACUUCCUCUUUUCCACCAACAUCUCGGCCCUGUCCCCCUUUGCCCUGGGCACCGCCGCGGGAUGGACCGGUGGAUGCGGAGCGGCUCGAAGGACGGCCGGCGACGAGAAUAAUGUGAUCCGCCCUCACCUGGCCGCUUCCCCUCUUCCAGCGAGACGCGCUCCGCCGCCCAGCUCCUCACUCGACCUCGCGCCUCAGCCCAACAGCCACGUGAUGGUCUCCCUGGCCUCGGCCCCAAAUGCAAGCCAGUCGUCGGCGAUGGGCAGAGCGGUCCAACACGCCCAUGGGUGGGCCCUUCCCCAUGGGCAGCUUCCUUUUCGCGGCUUCAGCUCAAGGGCCGUGGACGCCGACCUCUCCUCACCGUCAGCCUCAUAGCAUCGUUAUUCGUCUUCUCGGCCUCGUGGCCGCCGCGGCCAGCAGGAGAAAGAAGCGGCAGCGGCUGAACCUCCACAUCAAGACGGUCUCGCGUUGCAUGAGCCCGCAGCAACGGAAAGAAGGGACGUCGGCAGCAAGAGCAGUUCACCCCGCCGCCGCAGAAGCUUGCCAAGAUGAAUUCAUCUGACAACAGUGAGUCCUCUCGCUUGGGGAACAUAUCCAGAUUGUGCUAUUUGUUCGUCACUUUGCUGGCCAAGGUGGCCAACUGACCAAGCAGGGACGGCCGUCGCAAGGCCAGCGGCUGCACCCCGCCGCUAUUCGCCUAUUCCAUCCCAAGAUCCCCUGCUGCCUACAAGUGCUUCGUCCAUGGAGGAUUUAUACACCCAUGUGUUUGAUGGCUUACUUGUGUAACCUAUGCUUCGGCCUUGGAGGACGCACGCUAUGUGUUCGAUGGUUUGCCUCUGCAACAUUGGUCAAUUCACCAUGCGAAAUUUACCUAACAAGGAGUCCUAUUUGAUGGGGAAAAAAGGCACAUUCAGGCUACUUGCCUUCUCUAAGGUAAUGUUUCUUACUCGAAUAUGAAUUUUAUUUUUGAAGCAAUAAUUUAAACAAAUUAAAAGUACCUUGGAUAUGAUGUUCCUUUGCUAGUCUCACAUAAAAAAAAAAGUUCAGAGAAAAAUCACAUAUUUGACUGAUUGGUCUCACAUAAAAAGUUAAAAGAUUUAGUUAGAAUGCUACAUCGCAGUUAAUAUUUUUUAAUGUUCAAAACUAAUCUUAUGACUGAUUGGGAUAUGGACAUAUGCAGAUUGGUAUUUGCACCUCCAGUUAUCUAUACGGCAAUUGGUUCAAUAGAACCAUGCAAUACUCACCACAAAAAGGGAUCUAUUUUUCAACAGAAGUAUUCACAUUGUUCUUUUUGUUGCAAAUGCAUAAUUAUGGCAGCAGAUAAAGGAAAAGGGAGGUCGCUGAUAAGCUCCUUCAGUUUGUGGUGGAGUGAUGCCUGCUGUUCAAGAUAAUCACACAUUGGAUUUUAACUAUCAGAUCUGAUUUUAAAUUUCUUACCUACAUUUAUUUUUUGAGUCCUUGAUUUUCAUGGAUAGGGAGAUACUAUUUGUGGUACUAAUUCUAGAGAGGUCCAGUCAGAAUGGAUAAGUUCACAUGUUGCCUGACCUUUGCAGGACGAGCCUAACAUGUAGCUCAGGUGCCCAUCUCCUUCUUUCUACUUCAGUUCACGCAAUGGUAGCAGAAAGAGAAGUUGCUUAUGUCUAUGCAUCUCUCACAUGUACUGUUAAUGCUCACCACCUGUUUGGUUAAUUAACCGAGAAAGUCUGGAAACAGAAUAAUAAAUUGCAUCAUUAUUGAACGAUAUUGCUUAUUUUCUGUAACUGUGAAGUCAUUCACUUUUUCUGAUUUGCAAAGUGAAUUAUUGUAAAACCAAAUAUUACAACUCCAGUGCAUGUAGGUUAGGUGCUAUACAAGUGUGCAUUAUGUUUUUUGAGGAAAGUGAAGAUCUCACCGAAAGAGAACUGCAAUUAAAGAUAAAAGAAUAUAAAAAAUGGGUUCCUGCUCAUUUCUUUUCUUCCUUUCCUUUUUUCCCCACUUCAUUCCUAUUUACUUCAGUAGGCCUGGUUUAUAUAACUCCUCUGAUGCAAUACAAUAUGAGUAGUGUUAUCAGAUGUGUAUAGUGUACCAAAGGGGUGUUAAAGAAGUUAGACUACUACAGAUCCCGCUUCUUUUGGCAAAAUGAUCAUCAUAAAAAGAAAUACAGAUUAGUGAAGUGGAGUCUGGCGUGUCAACCAAAGCAACAGGGUGGCCUAGGAAUUCAAAACCUAGAAAUACAAAACAUCUGUUUGCUAAGUAAAUGGUUGUUUAAACUGUGUAACGAAGAUGGACUUUGGCAAUCUUUGUUGAAAAAUAAGUAUCUUACUAAUAAAACCAUAGGGGGCUGCACUAGCAGGUUAUCAGACUCACACUUCUGGAAAGGACUUAUGAAGGUGAAAGAUCAAUUUUUAAGUUUGGGAUACUUUAAAGUGAACAAUGGAAGUCAGACUAGGUAAUCAACUACUAAAAUUGAAAUUUCCAUCGCUAUUCAAUAUAGUCUACAGGAAGCAAGAUACUGUUGCUGCUAUUCUUAAUUCGACACCCCUAAAUUUAUCUUUUAGGAGAGCGCUAAGGGGUCAGAAUUUGAACAGCUAGAACAGAAUUGUUUCUUCAAUAUCAGAUUUACAACUCAGGGAGGACCUAGACUUUUUUCAUUGGUCACUACACUCAUUAGGGUAAUUUUCUGUCAAGUCUAUGUAUGCUGUGUUAGUCAACAAUGGGGUUACAGUGUCACAAGAUAUUUGGCGUGCAAAACUACCAACUAAAAUUAAGGUAUUUAUGUGGUAUCUUAAAAAGGGGGUAAUUUUAACUAAAGACAAUCUGGUUAGACGCAAUUGGCAUGGAGAUAAGUCAUGUGCUUACUGUCAUGUUCCUGAGUCUAUACAACACUUGUUUUUUAGUUGUACUCAUGCAAAGUUUUUGUGGCGCGCAGUUCAUGUAGUGUUUGGUAUAUCACAACCAUCUUCUAUCGAUGAUCUGUUGAAUAGAUGGUGCAAAGUGGGAGAUAACAAACAUAAUUUGUUGCUACUAACUGCAGCCUCGGCUAUUUGUUGGACCAUUUGGAUUUCCAGGAAUGUUGUUUUUGAUAAAUGUAAACCAAAAUCAUACUUGAAGGUACUUUUCAGGGGAACGUAUUGGCUAUGCCAAUGGGCUCUGUUGCAGCAACAUGAGCAUCAGCACGCCCUCGUCCUCCCAUGUCAGCAGCUUGAGGUGGCGGCACUUCGAGUCUUUGCGUCAUUUGGAUGGCUAACGUCGAGUCGAUUAGGUUUUCAUUAAUCAUGAGAAAAACUUGUUCAGUUUAUUUACCUCGCUUAGACUUGUUUGUGCGAGUGUUUGGAACUUUUUACUGGUUUUGUAAUAAGUGGACUGAUUCUACCCUGUGUAGAUGAAGCCGGAUAGUAUCUAUCCUUUAUCUUAAAAAACAAUCUGACAGUUAGAAGCAA